GAUCUGGCUCAGAUUGAACGCUGGCGGCGUGCUUAACACAUGCAAGUCGCGCGUGAAAGGACUUCGGUCCGAGUAAAGCGGCGCACGGGUGAGUAACGCGUGGAUGAUCUACCCAUGAGUUAGGAAUAACGGCUGGAAACGGUCGCUAAUACCAAAUACGCUCCGAUUUCAACUUCGGGGGAAAGGUGGCCUCUGCCUGCAAGCUACUGCUCAUGGAUGAGUCCGCGUCCCAUUAGCUAGUUGGUGGGGUAACGGCCCACCAAGGCGACGAUGGGUAGCCGGUCUGAGAGGAUGACCGGCCACACUGGGACUGGAACACGGCCCAGACUCCUACGGGAGGCAGCAGUGGGGAAUAUUGCGCAAUGGGCGAAAGCCUGACGCAGCGACGCCGCGUGAGGGGAAUGAAGGUCCUCGGAUCGUAAACCUCUGUCAGGAGGGAAGAACCGCCACGGUGCUAAUCAGCCGUGGUCUGACGGUACCUCCAAAGGAAGCACCGGCUAACUCCGUGCCAGCAGCCGC
rnacentral:rRNA from 1 species